rnacentral:rRNA from 1 species
UACAUGGGCUCCAAGCGUUGUCCGGAAUUAUUGGGCGUAAAGAGCUCGUAGGCGGUGUGUCACGUCGUUCGUGAAAACCUGCAGCUUAACUGUGGGCGUGCGGUCGAUACGGGCAUCACUGGAGUUCGGCAGGGGAGACUGGAAUUCCUGGUGUAGCGGUGAAAUGCGCAGAUAUCAGGAGGAACACCGGUGGCGAAGGCGGGUCUCUGGGCCGAUACUGACGCUGAGGAGCGAAAGCGUGGGGAGCAAACAGG